UCGGCAGUCGUUGUGCAGCACUUUGGUGACUCUAGAUAACCUCGGGCCGAUCGCACGUCCCCGUGAUGGCAACGACGCAUUCGGAUGUCUUCCCUAUCAACUUUCGAUAGUACUUUCUGUGCCUACCAUGGUGACCACUGGUAACGGGAAAUCAGGGUUUGAUUCCGGAGAGGGAGCCUGAGAAAUGGCUACCACAUCCAAGGAAGGCAGCAGGCGCGCAAAUUACCCAAUACAGGUGAUGAA